rnacentral:rRNA from 1 species
CUGGUUGAUUCUGCCAGUAAUCAUAUGCUUGUCUCAAAGAUUAAGCCAUGCAUGUCUAAGUACAAACUCUAGCACAGUGAAACUGCGAAUGGCUCAUUAGAUCAGUUAUGGUUCCUUAGAUGAUACAAUCCUACUUGGAUAACUGUGGUAAUUCUAGAGCUAAUACAUGCACUAAAGCUCCGACCCUUUCUGAGGGGAAGAGCGCGUUUAUCAGUUCGAAGCCAGCCGAGCCGCAAGGCUCSUCUCUUUGGUGACUCUGGAUAACUCUAGCGGAUCGCACGGCCUCGAGCCGGCGACGCAUCUAUCAAGUGUCUGCCCUAUCAGACUGUCGAUGGUAAGUGCUAUGCUUACCAUGGUGAUAACGGGUAACGGGGAAUCAGGGUUCGAUUACGGAGAGGGAGCCUGAGAAACGGCUACCACAUCCAAGGAAGGCAGCAGGCGCGCAAAUUACCCAAUCUCGAUACGAGGAGGUAGUGACGAAAAAUAACAAUACGGGACUCUUUCGAGGCCCCGUAAUUGGAAUGAGUGUACUCUAAACGUGUGCACGAGGAUCUAUUGGAGGGCAAGUCUGGUGCCAGCAGCCGCGGUAAUUCCAGCUCCAAUAGCGUAUAUUAAAGCUGUUGUGGUUAAAAAGCUCGUAGUUGGAUCUCAGGGUCGUUCGCGUCGGUCCCUUGCUGCAAUGGCUCGGGUACUGCGCGGUGUCGUCCCCCUUGCCAGACCUCUCAAAAAGGUUGCUCUUGACUGAGUGGCCUGCUCGAGUGGCUGGAGAGUUUACUUUGAAAAAAUUAGAGUGUUCAAAGCAGGCACAGCCCGCCUGUAUAAUGGUGCAUGGAAUAAUGGAAUAGGACCCCGGAUCCUAUUUUGCUGGUUUUUGGAGCUCAGGGGUAAUGAUUAAGAGGAACAGGGCGGGGGCAUCCGUAUUACGGCGUUAGAGGUGAAAUUCUUGGAUCGUCGUAAGACGCCCUACAGCGAAAGCAUUUGCCAAGUAUGUUUUCAUUAAUCAAGAACGAAAGUCAGAGGUUCGAAGACGAUCAGAUACCGUCGUAGUUCUGACCGUAAACUAUGCCAACUGGCAGCCCGUCGGCGUUGCUCUAUUCGACUCAGCGGGAGGCCUACCCGAAAGGAAAGUCUACGGGUUCCAGGGGAAGUAUGGUUGCAAAGCUGAAACUUAAAGGAAUUGACGG